rnacentral:rRNA from 1 species
GACGAACGCUGGCGGCGUGCUUAACACAUGCAAGUCGAACGGAAAGGCCCUGCUUGCGUGGUGUUCUCGAGUCGCGAACGGGUGAGUAACACGUGUGUAAUCUGCCCCAGACUUUGGGAUAACUUCAGGAAACUGGGGCUAAUACCGGAUAGGCGCUCCUGCGGCAUGGUGGGGGUUGGAAUGUUUCGUCGGUUAGGGAUGGACUCGCGGCUUACUAGCUGGUUGGUGGGGUAGUGGCUAACCAAGGCAUUGACGGGUGGCCGGCGGGGGGGGGUGACCGGCCACAUUGGGACUGAGAUACGGCCCGAACUCCUCCGGGAGGAAGAAGUGGGGAAUAUUGCACAAUGGGCGGAAGCCGAAUGAGGCAAGGCGGCGUGCGGGAUAACGGCCUUCGGGUGGAAAACCGCUUUCGCCGGUGACGAGGCGUGAGUGACGGUAAUGGGUUAAGAAGCACCGGCUAACUACGUG